AGACAAGCAUCUUCUGAGCUCUGCAGACAACAAUUUUGUUCAACCAAGAUUACUUUCAAUUGAAAAUAAGCAAAAACAAAAGAUAUAUUCUUAUUCAUACUUGAAGAAUCAAAACCGCAGCCCAAAUCCAAAUUGACCAAGACAUGACAUGAGAUAUGCCUAUGUCAAUGGACCCAUCAGUCGCCAAGAGGAGCUCUGAAUUGAUAGCAAUCAAUCCCAGCUGUGUUUCACCCAAUCGUAGAAAAAGAACGAAAGCCAAGCUAGCCCGUCCUGCAAAAUCAUACGAGCUUAGCAUACCAGAGAACUACAUCAGUAGCCAAAACAUUUAAUCUUUUGCAAGGAUUGUCGGGAUUCUUGGUAAGGGAAUGACAUCUUAUGUAAUGAUUCUAGCUUUUGAUUGAAGGUAAAAAUGUUUCCAUUUUCAGAUGAUUCUUUGAUCUGUACAAGAAACGCCCUAAAAUCAACUGCUAUAGAAAAGUAGUGCUUCUUGCACCGAACUAUCCAAAAAUCCAAACAAAUAAAAAUUGGAUUCGAAAAUCUAAAUUAGUAUAAGAAAUACGAAACCUAAGCCAAAUAUUCAUUUUCAUGCUUAUUUUGAUAUAAUAACUAAAAUUUAAACACCAAAAUAUUAUUAACUAAAUUCGAAAUGAUUUAGGAUGGAAAAUAGAUCUUAGAUAAAUUAUAAACAUAUCCGAAACAAUUCAAACAUAUAUAAAAUCUUCAAGACUGAAUCCGGAAACACGAUCCGAGGAUACCCAAAACUCCCAAACAAUCUAAAAACGGUUCUAUCAAACCGAGAAAACAACAAACUAAACCAUAACAGAACCGAUGUUAUAAAUUGUACACCUUUUGACUAAAGCCCAUAAAGAUCACUCUUAUCGGGCCCAAAUAUGUACAAGGGUGACUUCGUCGUAUUUCUUCAUUUCCAUAAACCCUAAUUUCGUCUUCAAAAACACAUUUUCAAGCGAGGAGUCUCCGAAGCGAUCGAGAAGAAGAAACCUCUUUAACCCCCGCAAAACAGCAAUGCCGCCGAAGCUUGACCCGAGCCAGAUCGUGGACGUGUACGUCCGCGUAACCGGAGGAGAAGUCGGAGCAGCGAGUUCUCUAGCUCCGAAAAUCGGUUCGCUCGGUCUAGCUCUCCCAAGAAGAUCGCGAAAGAAACCGCCAAGAAGUUCAAGAAGGUGAAGUUGAGAUUCCUGAGAAUUAAUAAAAAGGGGAUUUAAAGAUUUUAUUUUUUUGUUUUUGAGAUUUUAAUUAUGUUUCGGUUGAAAAACGUUUCUGUUGUUUUGCCGCGUUUAUUUAAUCACAGGCUUAUGCAAUGCUUUGCUACUUUUUCAUGACCAUUUUUAAAAUGAAAUGGUGGAACUUUAUGCCUAGGAAUCUCAAUCUGUCUUAGUUGAGUAAAUGCUCAUCAAAUGAUAUUUAACUUUUUUUUUA